AAAGCUUCAGGUUCUUUCAAGAAGUUAAGCCCAGAAUUAACUCCUUUUGUGCAUGGAGGCUGCUAAAUGCUGCGGCUGGAGAAGCUGAAGGAAGGGUGCCCGGGAAGCCCCACAGCCCAACUCCAUAGAGCAAGACCCCAAGUCCCCUCCCCAGCCCAGCCUCCCCUCCCUCCUUUUAUUCCCCAAAGCCAGGUUCUCUGGGAGCUGUUUAUACAGGGCCCUGGGUGGGGCAGCCCUGAAUCUAGGGAGGCCCUGCCCUCUGGGAGUUUUUAUAUGAAGACUAAGCAGCCAAGGCCCGGAGCAAGCUCUCGUCUUCCUUCCAGGUGUCUAGGAAACAGCAAAGCCACCAGUCCGGAUUAUCUCUUAUUCACUUUGUGACGCUGAUCCACUGACUGAACUUCUCAGAAUAGCCACUUCCUCGUUCUGCUGUAAUAAUUUCCCCGUCAUGAGGCUCAAAUUAGACAACCUAUGGUAUGUUAAGCCUUGAUGUGUGGUAGAUAUGUCACAAAGUUUCGUUGGGUUUAUUUUUUAGGUUCUUCCUAAACUGCGUUGGAAGAUCAGCAAAGAUUGUCUCGUAUACUGGAAAUAAUCUCUCCAUUUAUCCAUCCAUCCAUCCAUCCAUCCAUCAAGCAGAUUCGGUAGCAGCGUUGACACCGAUGCAAACUUAUGACAGCAUUUGGGGACAACAAGAAACACAGUUGUGGCGUCCAUGAACCCCAUUUUGAGUUCACUCUCUUUCCUACUUUUCUGGAGGCUGCUGAUAAGCUCUACUCUCUUUUGUGUUCAAGCGACAAGUUUAAUUGGCUAGCCUUUACAGAACAGAAAAACUAAAGAUAAAAUUGGGUCAACUGGUAAAUAUGUUUUAUGCCACGCUGAGAAACUGUCUAUGAAAAAGAACCAAUGUCUGAAAGACAGUGAUGGCUGACAGACAAUACAUGACUGACAGAUGGACCCACUGGAUUCCCUUAUCAAGCAUCCAGAACUCCCCAGCCCCACACACUGACCUACACAGGCACACGUACUGAUGCACUUCCCUCAACAAGAUGUCAAAGCGGAGUCCCUUACCAUUUAAUUUGCAAAGCAUACGGAUUUCUAGGGUGGGUGGGGGUCCCUGCUCUGUCUGUCCCCAACCUUGACAUCCUUCACACUCCAGCUAUGUGCCCUUAAGGGAUUAGAGGAAGACGUCCUGACCGGAUCACAGAGCUCUAGAAGAAUAGAGCUGAAAAGGAGGCUGAAGAUUAUCCAGGCUGAUUUUCUCAUUUCAUGCUGAUGAAACUGAGGCUGAGCGAAGUUAAGAGACUUUCCAAAGGUCACACACAUUUGUCAUAUCUGGACUAGAAUGCAGGUCUCUUCCUCUAUAAAUUUUAUUCCAAAUGUUCUGCCAACAUUAAUGAGAUCCUCCUGUGAGUCAAGCCCUAGCUAGGCAUUUUCACAUUCAUUCUUACAUUUAAUUUUCUAUACUGCUUGAGGUGGUUAUUAUCAUUAAACAGAGGAGCCAACUCUAGGCCUCGGUAAAGGGAAAUGACUGGCCCAAGACUUCAUGGCUAGUAAGUGGCUGAGUUAGAACUCAAACCCAGAUCCUUCAAUCCCAGCGUAGUACCCUUUCCAUCAAGCCUACAGCCCCUCCUUGGCAAUACUGAAAGGUUGAUGGGGGAGUUGGCACCCAUGACCAGCUGAGAGGAAAGGGUAAGGAUGAAGGUCCACUGGUGGAGACAUUGCGGGGCACAGAUGAUGGCAAGAGGCCAGAACAAUGGCCUUCUGGAAGAAUAUGGCCCUGCUUUGCACAACAUGCAAAUCAGGCCUCACAGUCCUCAGGAAUGCCGCAGGACAGCUCAGUAUAGUUGAGAGUAGGCCAAGUCCCUGACAAGCCUCAAGGGCUGCCUGAUAGCAGCUGGGUCCCACACCCCCAGCCCAGGCCUGGCUCAAGUCUCCUGCUGGACUUCCUACAAUGCAAGCAUCAUCCACACCAAGCCCUAGGACUAAUACUUUUACCUCUUUUGGGCCUCGAUUUCUUGAUCUCCAAUGGGAUGAUGAUAACAACGGUCUAUGUGAAAAUUAUUUUCCUGAAACACAACGUCGUGGCAGUCAAGGCUCCAUUCAAAUCACUUUAGUCUCCACAUACCUCAUAAUAACAAUAGUUUGGACUUGUUAUUAAGUACCUGGAGCAUUCUGGAUAUUAGUUAUAUCUUUACAGCAUCCUAUUUUGCAAAUAAGAAAACUGAGGCACAGAGAAGUCAGUUGCCCUAGGUCGCACAGCCAGUAAAUGGCAGAGCUGUGAUUUAAUCUCAGGAUCAUCCAAUUUCAAAUCCAGGGCUCUUCCCAUGACAUCACAACACUCUUGUUAAUUGCGAUUCAAAGCCCUCUGUAACAUGCCUUAACACCCCUUUCCAAUCCCAGCUGUAUCUGCACAGGCUCACUCACUGGUCCCCUCGAUGCUUUCCCCAGCUCUCCAAUGGCCUAGAUGUGUAUGCUUGUGUUUGGAUGUGUGUGUAUUUAUAUGAGUGUUUAGCUACAUGUAUUUAUAUGUAUGUGGGAUUUAUAAUAUCUAUAUGUAUAGUGUUAUGUACAUAUAGUGAUAUGUACAUGUAUCGUGAGUACAGUGCAUAUAUAUUUGUAAUGUAUGUUGUUCAUGUGAAUACAUUUAUAAACGUUCCUGUGUGAGAUGAAUGCUUGCAUGUGUCUACAUGUAUAUAUUCCAGUGACUGGGGAGAAUUUGAGAAGUACUUCAUGAAGUCUCACUGUACCUAGUAAGAAAGAAAGGAAAAAAAAACAUCCUGACAUCUGUCGUUGGCCAAUACGGUAGUUUGCCUGGGACUGUCCCAGUUUUAGCACUAAAAGUCCUGCAUCCUGGGUAAGUCCCAGGCAAACUGGAAUCAACAAGCAGUUGUGUUUCCUGCUGAACAUAAACAAUUUCACGGAAGAUCAAUAUCAGAUGCGGUCAUUCUGUGACCAGGAUAGAACAAGACAAAAAUUAGGACACUAUGCAACUUAAAAAAUGACCAAAUAUUCUUCUCUGUCACCUAACAUGAGUGGCCACUGCUUCCUUACCAAUGAGAACUCCAACCCUGCUUUCUUCUUCCUGCCUCCUAGACAAAAAUUAAGAUGCCCAGUCACCAAAUUCCCCUUGCUUCUUGACAGCGUUCAACCCAGAGCAAAGCUGUGCUUCCUUAAGUACUCUCCAGCAUUUGCCCGCACAACCCCAAAUCCGACAACAAGCCCAUCCUUCUGAAACUGUCUCUUACUUAGAUGUCCCACCGUUCCCCAUGGCAUCUGUCCUCCUGCUGCAGCCAGUUAAUGAACCUAACUUUGGGGCUGGCCCGGUGGCUCAGGCGGUUAGAGCUCCAUGCUCCUAACUCCGAAGGCUGCCGGUUCGAUUCCCACAUGGGCCAGUGGGCUC